GAUGACUCUCGACAACGGAUAUCUCGGCUCUUGCAUCGAUGAAGAACGUAGCGAAAUGCGAUACUUGGUGUGAAUUGCAGAAUCCCGUGAACCAUCGAGUCUUUGAACGCAAGUUGCGCCCGAAGCCACUAGGCUGAGGGCACGUCUGCCUGGGUGUCACGC
rnacentral:rRNA from 1 species